UACGUAGGGGGCUAGCGUUGUCCGGAAUCAUUGGGCGUAAAGCGCGCGUAGGCGGCCCGGUAAGUCCGCUGUGAAAGUCAAAGGCUCAACCUUUGAAUGUCAGCGGAUACGGCCGGGCUAGAGUCCGGAAGAGGCGAGUGGAAUUCCUGGUGUAGCGGUGGAAUGCGCAGAUAUCAGGAGGAACACCAACGGCGAAGGCAGCUCGCUGGGACGGUACUGACGCUGAGGCGCGAAAGCGUGGGGAGCGAACAGG
rnacentral:rRNA from 1 species